AUUGAACGCUGGCGGCAUGCUUUACACAUGCAAGUCGAACGGUAACAGGCCGCAAGGUGCUGACGAGUGGCGAACGGGUGAGUAAUGCAUCGGAGCGUGCCCAGUCGUGGGGGAUAACUAUCCGAAAGGAUAGCUAAUACCGCAUACGAUCUGCGGAUGAAAGCGGGGGACCUUCUGGCCUCGCGCGAUUGGAGCGGCCGAUGUCAGAUUAGGUAGUUGGUGGGGUAAAGGCUCACAAAGCCAACGAUCUGUAACUGGUCUGAGAGGACGACCAGCCACACUGGGACUGAGACACGGCCCAGACUCCUACGGGAGGCAGCAGUGGGGAAUUUUGGACAAUGGGCGCAAGCCUGAUCCAGCAAUGCCGCGUGCAGGAAGAAGGCCUUCGGGUUGUAAACUGCUUUUGUACGGAACGAAACGGCUCUGGUUAAUACCUGGGGCUAAUGACGGUACCGUAAGAAUAAGCACCGGCUAACUACGUGCCAGCCGCCGCAGUAA
rnacentral:rRNA from 1 species